CUCAGUGACUUGCAAGCAACUCACUGUGCUUUGGUACUAGACUAAUUAAAUUUUUAAUUCAGUGAUGGAAGGCUUCUGGGCAUAGUCAAGUACUUGCAAAGUUAGAGUGUGAUCAAAAUGUGAUUGACCACUCCAAGAGUUGGAGAAGAAUGAGUCGCUGUAUUUCAAUUUAGCAAAAUCUUGGCCAGGGUAAUCCAUCAGAUGGAUUUGAUAUUUU
rnacentral:lncRNA from 1 species